CUACCUUGUGCUUAUAGAAUUGAUGUGGUUAAUGUGUUAAAAACCUACAAAUGACAAAGAAAAAGGCCAAGAAUGACUACUAUAAAGUUACAAACGUAGGUUGUGUUUUUGUCAGAAGGUUCCUUGGAAAAAUGAACAACUGAAUCUGAAUAAAGGUUGCUACCAUGAGAAUAAUAAAUAAAUUAAUACAUUAAAUAGCAAACAUCAGUAAUAGUGUCCAGAAAAUGCAGUUAAACUCUCAUUGCAUUUAAUGAAAUGUUUUAAAAACCGUAUUAAAAACAGGCUAGAUAAUAAUAUAUGAUUCACACCCACAGUGUUGGUAACAUGGUCGAAAAUCUUUG